rnacentral:tRNA from 1 species
GCAUAGCUCAGUUGGUUAGAGCAUGGUGUUGAUAACACCAAGGUUGCAGGAUCAAUCCCCGUACGGGACAGCUGCA